CAAACAGCUUUGAUGGGGACCGGGAAUCUGGUACAGGGCCACAGAGAGCCGGGUUAGGUGAAAGCCGGCGCCGCAUGACAGGUUACCUACAUCACCCCGGAGCUGCCCUUCCGAACGCAUGCUGCAAGUAGGCUGGGCCGGGUCAGGCACCCGUUAUCAAACCGCACAAGUACGUCUGUAUGCUGUGCAAAAGUGGCUCUUUGUGAGCAAUCAGGGUGGUACCGCGGAAGGAAUACCUCUCGUCCCUGGC
rnacentral:ncRNA from 1 species